GGCGGCGGCCACCGCGACGAUGGCUGUUGGCCCCUCGACGGAAGCCUUCUCGAGAAGCACCCGUCUGCAGCCCCGCCAGGUGGAAACCUGAGGCUGCGUUAGCUUCAAUGCAAGCAAAACCUCUUGUCAGGCAGACAGUGAAAAAACACAGCAGCACAGGUCACCAUGCCACGAAUGACAGAUUUAAGGAUACCAUGGGAGCGUUGGCCACCUGGCAUGUCGGCAACGGUAUGCUCCACUGCGAGUACUCUCCGCUACACUGUUCGCUCAGGGAGAAGACAUACCAUGCAAUGUUUAUGUGAGAACAGGAGUGAAAUAAGACGCUUUAUCAGUAAUGUGCUUUCCAUUUUAUGUUCAUAUGUCUUGAACCUACAGAUGAGCCAAUGAGUAAAGAUUAAAAAAAAGAAAUGGAACUGAUAAGCAUGUAUGGGAUAUCAUCA
rnacentral:lncRNA from 1 species